UCCUACCCGCAGCCCGACUGGAGGCCCGCCCUUCCCGGCGCCGCGAGGAGGGUGGCGGUGUCCCCAGCUGAAGGGAGGAAGAGGUGGAGUCGGUGUUCGUGCCGUUUUAUACGUAAAAGAGAUCAUCCAUGCAGAGUGCUUCCUACGACCAUGGGCCCCAUUGUUUCUAGUUGUCACAAAUCAGUUCUCAUGAAAGGCAGCACUACCUACAGAGUACCAUGAACAGUAAUGGAAGGAGAACGGAAAUUUCAUCUCCUAAACCUUAUUUUCUUCCAGUUCUUUA